AAAUACUUUAAAAAAAUUAUUAUAGUAUACAUUUUUUGACUUUUAGCAAACUAUGUACUGAUUAAAUUCUUUCUAAAAAUGUAACAACACGAUUAUAGAAGCUAGUAAACUGGGUAUGGAGGACCAAUAUAUUGACUUCACGGGACAUAUUUGACUAUUAACAAUAUACGAGAAAGUUCGCGUCCUGAAGAAUUACUUUAACCGGGAAAAUUAAAUAUUUUUGUUCUUCACAUCCAAAAAUGGUAUUUUUUUUUCAUAUAACUAAUUAUUAUUGUACCCCUGUAUAUAUGUAAAGUAUUUGUCGGUCAAGGCUUGGUGUUCAUUAUUACUAAAUAAUAAUUAAUCUACUGUAUAUUGAUCUCAUUAUCAAUGAAAUCUCCGACUACAUCCCUAAGUUUACAUUUUUGAUAGUACUAUCUGUUUAAUAAUUGGCCCUUAAAUUUAUGAAUGCAUUCGGUAAAAAUAUAUGAGGCAGAAAGAAAUGGAAAACAGGAAGUUAUAAAGGAAGUUGUCUGGACGAAUCUCAAAUAUAUAUUGUAAAUCUCAGAAGUACCAUCUAGAUCACCUGAAGAGCAUGCUUUGCACCACACACGAAGUCUUUAAUCGUAAAUUCUCGAUCAAAGUAAGGGCGAAUUAUAAAUUGUAUUAGUAUCCAAUUUCUCAAAGUAUUGAUUGUUGAAGGCCAUAAAGUUUCAGGAAAGUCCAUUAAACGAGGUAAACUACGAGAUCCAUCCAAAUGAAAGUUACUAUGAUCCGGAUUUGGUAUAUU